rnacentral:rRNA from 1 species
GUUGGGUUAAGUCCCGCAACGAGCGCAAACCCCUCGACCUUAGUUGCCAGCAUUCAGUUGGGCACUCUAAGGUGACUGCCGGCUAAAAGGUCGGAGGAAGGUGGGGAUGACGUCAAAUCAUCAUGCCCCUUAUGACCUGGGCUACACACGUGCUACAAUGGGCGGUACAAAGGGUCGCGAACCCGCGAGGGGGGAGCCAAUCCCAAAAAGCCGCUCUCAGUUCGGAUUGCAGGCUGCAACUCGCCUGCAUGAAGCCGGAAUCGCUAGUAAUCGCGGAUCAGCAUGCCCGCGGUCGAAUACGUUCCGGCCUU